GCGGGUUGCCUGAGGAGGAUUUGGGCUCCGGCUGCUGCAGCCUGGUGGCCAGCACCGCGGGGCCCCUCCUCUGCGCCGCCCUCGCCACUGCCACCGCCGCCACCGCCUCCUCCUCUCACUCCUCCUCUUCCUCGUCCUCCCGAUCCUCCUCCUGGUCCCCAGCAGCCGCGGCUCGGGGAGCAUCCGGCAGCGCAGCGGGCGCGCACCCUUUGUCUCUGGCCGCCGUGCGCGGGGCCCAGCGCAGGCGCCACGCGGGGACGGAGGAGGCAGAGAGGACGGGCAGUCAUGGAGAAACGGGAGAGAGGAGCCGGCCGAGCGUCACCACCACCACCAUCACCAUCACCACCAUCACCACCAUCCCUGACCGCCGCCCAUCCCACCCCCAGCCUCAUCGUCCAUCUCAUCUCCCGUGCAAUGCCAACUUAUCAGACACUGUCCUUGUCAUCGGGUAAUACUCUGAAAAAAAAAAAUUAUGGAGUGAGCCAAAUUAGGAAUAAGUACCUCUGCUGUGCGCCAUUCAUCUUGGGGUUGCCACUUACCUACCUCAGUUUUCCCAUCAGGAAAAGGGACACUGCGAGGCUUCAUCCCUCAGUCAGACUGAGGAGGUUUGGUGGCUUUCAGAUUUUCUAAGGCUGGCGCUAGAAGAGACCUAGAUGUAACAACUCUAUUGGUAAUAAUGAUGAAUAUGAUGGUAAUGUCCUCAUUAGAUUAGAUAAUUGAGAGUUUAAAAACUUUCUCUCUGAUCUUUGGGUGUCAAAAUACCAAUAGUAAAUCAAAAAUAAGAAAAGUCAAACUUCCACUACACUAUUGCUCAAUAGAAGCAAAAAAGAUUCUUUUGUAGGAAAACCAUUCCAGAAAACUAAGGGCAGUAACUUUGAUCUGAUGUGUGGACAACGCUGUUUAGUGCCAAGUGAUUGUGUGAUGCUCAUUAUUUUGGAUGUGUACAGUGUCCCUGGGUGUUUUUCACCCUACCUGGAAAAUGUUUUGAUUACUGCAUUUCAAAACUGGCUUUCACCCUUCGAAGGGACUGCUGACCAGUCAUAUCCACAGAGAUUUCAAGAAUGUUAGGAAGUCCUGUCAUGGGAACCUUCUUUAGAAAAGCAAAACACAGAAAACAACCUUCUAAACCCACCACCUUUCUCUAGAAAAUGAACCCUGAAUUUCCAUGUUUUAUGUUUUGUUCUAAGAAAGACUACUAGACCAUUCUGAAUUUCUUGACAAGAUGGAAAUUUUUUCUUCCCCCCCCAAUCACCAUAUCAUGUCUCCUCAUUAAUAGGACUGUAAAGGCCCACAUGGCAUAGUUUGCCUUGUGUCUUUAUUUCUUCAGUGCAGAAAACAAUAAGUGAUAUUAUUAAAAAUAGUGUGGACCCAGCUGAGCUGCAGUUGUCAUUACCAUAGUUUAAGAUCUCAGAUGUUGAAGUAUAAUUACACACCAUUAACUCAAACCUCCCUAAUUUGUGAAGCAGGAUUUUAAAAUAGUGUAUGUAAUUUUGUGGAAAAUGACUUUGAAGUAAUGUCUUUUCCUAAAAAUAUUUCAGGGCCUCAAGUUUAAGUAAGGAGUAGUCAAUCUAAAAUAAUCACAUUUCAGACACAGAUUCAAAUAAUAACUUCACUAUGUUUUAAAUUCCAGAUCUUUGGGAUAUAUUUAGCACCUUAAGAAAGCUUUAUGUCUUUGAUUGUAUAUUAGUUCAUCCUGGCUGGAGUUGCUAUAAUAAAAUCAUAGGGUGAUUUACAGACUAUAGAAACAUAUUGCUCACAGUUCUAGAGUCCAAGAUGGCAGUGUCUGGUGAGGGCUUGUCUACUUUGUAGAUGGCACCUUCUCAGUGUCUUCACAUGGCACCAUGGACAAGAGGCUUCCUUGGGCCUCUAAUUUUUGAGACAGAGUCUCCCUUUGUUGUUCAGGUUGAUCUCAAACUCAUCAUCCUCCUGCCUCUGCUUCCUGAGUAAUUGUUACUACAGAGGCAUGACUUCUGGCUAUGGGCCUCCUUUAUAAGGGUGCUAAUCCCAUUCUUGAAGGUGAGCUGUCAUGACAUAAUUCCUUUCUAAACACCCACCUCUUAAUCCUACUGCAGGGGGGGAAAGGGCUAAAAUAGAAUUUUGGAGGCACACAAACAUUCAGACCAUAGCAAGUUGUCACUGAGUUUUGUUGUUUUUUAUAUAAGAAUUGGACCCAGGGGCACUUAAUCACUGAGCCACAUCCCCAACCCUUUCUGAAAUAUUUAGAGACAAGGUCUCACUGAGUUGCUUAGAACCUCACUAGGUUGCUAAGGCUGGCUUUGAACUUGCAAUCCUCCUGCCUCAGCCUCCUAGGUCACUGGGAUUACAGGCAUGUGCCACCCUGCCUGGCUAUUGAGUUCUAUUAUUAUUAUGUCCCACAUGAAUGAUUUUAGCCCAUGUUAUUUUUUAUAUCUCCAUAUAAAUUAUACUAUAAUUUAAAAUUAUUCAUUCAUUUUGGCUUGUUUUAUUUUUUGGUAGUGCUGGGAAUCAAACCCACGGCCUCAUACAUGCUGUACCAUGGAGCUAAUCUUCCAUCCUUCAUUUGAUUUUAUUGAGGUAUUAGUUACAUACACAAAAUGCAUAAUUCUUCACGUACAGCUUUAAUAAUUUUCACCUGUGUAUAUAUCCUCCUAUAACCUCCAAGCACAAAAGGGGCAGAAUAUUUCCAUCAUUCUAGAAUAUUCCUUAAUGAGCCUUCCCUGUUAGUAUCCUUCAGACAUAACCACUACUUUACUUCUAUUAACAUAUAAAUUUUUAAAAAUAAUUUCUAAAUAGUCUUUUACAU